rnacentral:misc_RNA from 1 species
AAGUCGUAACAAGGUUUCCGUAGGUGAACCUGCGGAAGGAUCAUUACAAAUCCAUCACGUCUCCUUUAUACCGAGACCACGUUGAAAUGUUCCCCAAUAGAGGUCAUGCUAGGCAUGCGCAUUGUUGCAAAACGGCCGUGUCUGCUGGCAUCUAUUGGGCUGUUAAACUAGUGUUAUCUUUGUUGCUCAAUUGUAUGACUGUCUACAUCAUUCUUUGAUGAAGGCUAAAAAACUUGUACAACUUAUAACAAUGGAUCUCUAGGCUCUU